GAUGAACGCUGGCGGCGUGCCUAAUACAUGCAAGUCGAGCGAACGGACGAGAAGCUUGCUUCUCUGAUGUUAGCGGCGGACGGGUGAGUAACACGUGGAUAACCUACCUAUAAGACUGGGAUAACUUCGGGAAACCGUAGCUAAUACCGGAUAAUAUUUUGAACCGCAUGGUUCAAAAGUGAAAGACGGUCUUGCUGUCACUUAUAGAUGGAUCCGCGCUGCAUUAGCUAGUUGGUAAGGUAACGGCUUACCAAGGCAACGAUGCAUAGCUGACCUGAGAGGGUGAUCGGCCACACUGGAACUGAGACACGGUCCAGACUCCUACGGGAGGCAGCAGUAGGGAAUCUUCCGCAAUGGGCGAAAGCCUGACGGAGCAACGCCGCGUGAGUGAUGAAGGUCUUCGGAUCGUAAAACUCUUUUAUUAGGGAAGAACAUAUGUGUAAGUAACUGUGCACAUCUUGACGGUACCUAAUCAGAAAGCCACGGCUAACUACGUG
rnacentral:rRNA from 1 species